rnacentral:rRNA from 1 species
AUGCAAGUCGAGCGGGGUUUUCGGACCUAGCGGCGGACGGGUGAGUAAUGCGUAGGAAGCUGCCCGAUAGAGGGGGAUACCAGUUGGAAACGACUGUUAAUACCGCAUAAUGUCUACGGACCAAAGUGUGGGACCUUCGGGCCACAUGCUAUCGGAUGCGCCUACGUGGGAUUAGCUAGUUGGUGAGGUAAUGGCUCACCAAGGCGACGAUCUCUAGCUGGUUUGAGAGGAUGAUCAGCCACACUGGAACUGAGACACGGUCCAGACUCCUACGGGAGGCAGCAGUGGGGAAUAUUGGACAAUGGGCGCAAGCCUGAUCCAGCCAUGCCGCGUGUGUGAAGAAGGCCUUCGGGUUGUAAAGCACUUUCAGCGAGGAGGAAGGGGUGAGUGUUAAUAGUACUCACCUUUGACGUUACUCGCAGAAGAAGCACCGGCUAACUCUGUGCCAGCAGCCGCGGUAAUACAGAGGGUGCAAGCGUUAAUCGGAAUUACUGGGCGUAAAGCGCACGCAGGCGGUUGGUUAAGUCAGAUGUGAAAGCCCCGGGCUCAACCUGGGAAUUGCAUUUGAAACUGGCCAACUAGAGUAUGUGAGAGGGGGGUAGAAUUCCAAGUGUAGCGGUGAAAUGCGUAGAGAUUUGGAGGAAUACCAGUGGCGAAGGCGGCCCCCUGGCACAAUACUGACGCUCAGGUGCGAAAGCGUGGGGAGCAAACAGGAUUAGAUACCCUGGUAGUCCACGCCGUAAACGAUGUCUACUAGCUGUUCGUGGUCUUGUACUGUGAGUAGCGCAGCUAACGCACUAAGUAGACCGCCUGGGGAGUACGGUCGCAAGAUUAAAACUCAAAUGAAUUGACGGGGGCCCGCACAAGCGGUGGAGCAUGUGGUUUAAUUCGACGCAACGCGAAGAACCUUACCUACUCUUGACAUCUAGCGAAGAUUGUAGAGAUACGAUUGUGCC